AAAAACACCUUCAUCCUGCGUUUAGUUUACUGUAAUUUCAACCUUGCUGAGACUACAGCAUUCUGCUAAGAACUGGUCAGGAAAGGUGAAUUUGUUAGGUAUACUAUCCAAUUUGUUUUAAAUAAUUUCAAAAUAUCAGUGUCUUAGUUUUCUUAGAUAGCUGAAGAUAAUCAUAAGUCACAGAUAUCUUUGCAGAAUUUAGUUUUGUGCUGUUUAAGAAUAAUACAGUUGUGUAUACAUUAAGUUCCAUGCUUGAAUUCUUCAAUGCAGCUUCUCUGGAAAGAAAAAAAGAUAAAUUUUACACCAGUGUCUGGUCAACUGAUGGAUGUAAUCCCCCAUUGGCUGUUAGUGUGCAUGAGUGGGCAAAACUGAACAGAUGUGCUUGAAACUUUUGUCUUCUGGGAGAGCACUGAUUGUUAGAAAAGUUAACUAUGUCCCAAGAAAAUGUAGGACACACGUUCUAUGAAAAGCACAAAACAGCCCUCAGAAAAAGAGAAAAAAGAGUUCUGUCUUACAUCAUGUCUUGUUGCCUUACAUAUUUGUUUGUAUGAGAGUAGAUAGAGUUUCUUCUAUUUUUUGGAGUUAAGCUUGUGUCUGUUUCCACUACCGUGGCUGUAAAUGCUUGUUUCUGCUUUGGGAAAGGAGGGAGUCCUCCUCUGGCUCUUAAAGGCAGCCUAAGAGAUCUUGCUAGUUUAAAGUCAACGUAUUAAUGCUCCAGAAUCUAGCUAUGCAAAGCUGUUUGUGUGUAGAAACUUCUCAUUUCCAAAGGAUAUGAAAUCUUAAGGAAAAAGAUGUGUGCAGCUAUUUAACUUUAAAAGCUGUAAAAAACUCCAGUUUUAAACAAUUCAGGAUCUAUAACUUAAUAUGUGUAACUAACACUCCUUUCCAUAUUUUAUUCCAAGACUCACUCUCACACCUUUUCUCUAUUGAAAACAAAAGGUUAAAUGUCCUUGUUAGCCAUAUACCUUGAGAGUGUAGAGGCAACAGAACAAAGAAAGGUGACUGCCUUCCACUGUUUUAAGUCUUUAUCCUGGUAACACACCCUCACAUGCUGAGACAGAUGCAAAUUGAUCUUUCUGUGUGGCUGGAUAAGAGAUGUAAGCAUUGGCAGGAUUGGGAUUUUAGGGUCUUCAGGGCUUUUUGGUUGUUUGAUUUUGACUUUUUUUUUAAUAACCCUAUGUGGGAUAAGUAAGAUCAAUAGAACCAUACUGAAUCAACGUAAGGUGCUAAACUUGCACAAUGUUACUGAAAUGACAACUCAGAGGUGAACCAAACUUACUUGCCUUUAUUAUCAGGUUGUACAGCUUCCUUUUGGAUACUUUUGACUUUUUUCUUUCUUUUUCUUUUUCUUUCUUUUUUUUUUUUUUACCAUCAUCUCAGUGUACAAUUUACAGUUCCAAAUACAUUCACACCAAAAUGUUUUUAAUGUUGUGAGCUUUUUCAUUCCUGUUUGAGUGAAGGUGCUGCUAUGCUUGUGUUCAUAAUAGAUCUACUGUAAACAGACUUCCGUAACAAUUCCACUUGAACACUAUGAGGAUAGGGUUGUUGAACAGCAAGCUGCUUCAAUGCAUGGGGCAAACGUGCAUCUUCUGUUCUUUUUGUUGCGGUGGGUCUUGAUUUGAUUUGUUGUUUCUUUCUGUGGUUCGUGUGAAUCAAAAUGGGUGCUAAAAGGAUUUAGUGGUUAGAGCAGGACUGCAGUUUCUUGCUUAAAGUGCCAUUGCUAUACAGUGAACAGCAUCAAGGAACUACGUUGUUCAGUUCUGCGUUGCCAUGCAGUCAGGUUGAUGUUUGUCUUCAUGUGUGUGACUCUUCCACUUGACUGAAAAUGUCAUCAGACGGCCUGAAACAGUGGAAAUCCCUGACUGAGCUGCAGAUCUCUGGUUAAAUAACAGAAGUCCUUCGCUUCUGAUUCUUUCUCAUGUGCUGGUUUUUCAGGAGUAUCUUCAACAUAACUAGCAGUGGAAUAUGAUGGAUGGCUUGUGAUGAAGUAAGCCAUGCCGUAGCCAUUUCUCAAUGAGGAACGCUUUACAUGCAUGCUUCAGGCACUCGCAUGCAGAGCUAGAUUGACAAUACUCUAUUUUACAGAUAUUUGCAAGUGCAUCUGUGGUAAGAAUAAAACUAGAUAUGAAAGUAGCCAUAUUUUUUCAACUUACAGAAUUCAAAACCUGAUAAUGAUCUAGUUUAAACUUGAAACUAUUUAGAAUGAUGAGUAAUGUAUUUAAUGGGUGAGCCUUUCCCAAAGCAUGUGUGAGUUAAUAAAGCUGAGAAAUGUCCUGAAAAUAUUCUCAUCAACUGGUGGGAUCUAGCAGACAAAUCUAGUUCUCAAAGGUUGUUCAUCUUUGAUUCUUGCUAUUUAAGCCAAUAAACUUGCAAUAAGCAGAGAAAAGCAAGUAUUUGUUUCUGAUACCUGUUUUAUGAGUGACAAUCCCAAAGAAGGAAUGUUGUCCUAACAAUUGUGAAACGUUUAAGUAUAUUAAUGCAUGCAGCAAAACAAAUAAACAAAAAACAAACAAACAAAAAAAAACAACCUGUGCCAAAAUACUGAUUCAUAUUUCCUUAUGUUGGAAACUGAAUUGUUACAGAGAGCUACUAGUAAGUUAUUCACACAAGUAUUGAAACCUUGUGUUCACAAAUGAAACACUUAUUUAGUCCUGUAAAUUAUACAUAUUUUGGAAUAAAGUGAAUUUCAAUCAAUUUUUGCCUUUUGUUUUCUGCUGUGAUCUUCUGUAGAGGCACAAGUAGGGCAUACAGUGCCUGUUAGUAAGCACCACCCAUUACUCUGCAACAUCUUAUCUUUGGAAAGCCAGCUAUCUUUUGAAUAGGUAGAGUUUUUGUAACUUACAGCAAUCUUACAAUGUCAGUCCUUCAUCUCCAGAGGCAGGAAAAACUUAAGUUUUCCUAUGUUUUUCUACUUCUCAAUAAAUCCUGGGAACUUAAAACAUACAACACAAAUGUAAUCAGAAUAAGAAGAUGCUGUAUUUUUAUGAAUCUGAAACGACCAUAAGGGAGGUUCUUUCCUUUAAGUGAGCCUUUGCUUAGAGUUUUUGUGCCAAAAUGGGUGUAUAUAGCUCGGGCUGGAUUCCUUUGACCAGCAGCAUUUGGGCUGUAGGAGUAGUGGUGCUCCUUCUCAGACUUCUUAAUGUGUGCGAAAUUCAAUCUGCCUUCAAUCAUCUUGUACACAUGAAGAGCACGUCUGCAGUAGUUUCUGCUCCCAGAUAAGUCUUUUUUUCCACAAGAGGCUCUUGGUUCAGAAGGAUUACUUGUUGUUCAGCACUCUUACCUAAACCUGUAAUUUUCAAGAGUCCUAAGCAGAAAUUAACUGCAUUAUGAUGAUUAGCUUUCAGAGUAUCCUACUUUAAAAUUACAGUCCUUUUUAUUAGCUUAUAUUAUUUUGCAAUAUAUUUUAAUUCAUAGAGUAACUUUUAAUAUCAUUAAAAUUUAAAAAGCUAGACUAGAUUGAGUAGGACCAUGGAUGAUUGUUGUCCCCUUCCCCUCUUGCAUAAGCCCUGUGCUUAGCAAUAAUGAUCCAAACCUUUUCUGUUAUUUGGAAAAUACAAAAUGCUCAUUUCUGCUCUUGUAUAUCUUGUCAACUUGCGUAUUAGUUCAGAGAAGACGAAUGAGCACAUACUCUGUGAUGGAAAGCUCAGCUGUACUAUUACAGUGGCUGCAGUCACAACUGAAACACUCUGUGGUGUUCCAUGCUGCUGCUUUCAGUGCUAUUACAUGCUGAGGUCACUAUUUGCACAACGCAGCUUUCAGUUGUAGUGAUAGCAAAGGAUGGAAGGUAUUUCCUGGAGGCUGUAUGCAUUUCUCUGUAGAGCAUUUAAAAUUAUCUUUGAAAGAAUCAGAUGCAUAAAGUACUGACUGUCCUUGCUGAAGUUACAGGCUAUUCCUGUUGCAGGAAUGAGAUGCUGAUGAGUUUAGUGGUGUUAUUUCAGGCUUAUUAUUCAGAUGGAGCAGAUCUGCCCUCCAGACAGCAGUCAGACACUUCAAACAGACCAUUCUUGUGAAGCUUUCAAAGAUGUCAAGAUGGUCUAGAAGGCAGGACAGACUCUUAAGCUUGAGAGGAAGAUUAUGGCUGUUUAGAAAUCAGGGAAGCUCCACCCAUUUUUAAAAUGCUUUCUUGUUUGGUGUUGAUGAGAAUUGACUGUUAUUCCUUCCGUUGGUGGUAAAAGCACUCCUGAUCAGCUUGCAUAUAGAUUCUGAAUUUCCUUUGCCUCAAGAAAUUGUAUCUGUGCAAGCUGACUGCAUUCCAUCAAAACAAUUGAAGGGAGAGGCAGGUUUUCUUUCUGGCUCCAGGAUUUGGAUUUGAUAUGUCCUGUGGAAUUGGUCCUUGAGAGGUUUGGACAUAAAAAUAAAAUGUUGAUUUAACUUCCAGGUGUUGUCUCAUGUUGUCUCAUUGUAUUUUUACACUUAUCAGCAGUUGUUUUUUUGUUAUUGUUGUUAUUGUUGUUGUUUUGUUGUUUUUAGUGCCUUGAAUACAGGAAACCCUUCCAGCUGAUCUAGCACUUAAGUUUGUUUCCUUUUCCUGGACAGGAAUGGCUUUAUUCCUGAGAGAAUCUGAUUGUAAACAAGAAGCUGCUGUUUCCCGUGGCAGAAAAACACAAUAUCUUCAAGGUCACAUAACUUAAUUAGGCUUUAUCACGUGCUGUGAAUUUAUCUUUAUGUUCUAGGCCUUUACUUGGCAGCCUUUCUGGGUGCCUUCUAUUACCUUCCUCCCUCCUUUCUUGGCAAAUUCUUACAUGUAUAUUGUUCAGUAUCCCUUUCUUUCAAGUCUUUCCUGAAGGAAGCACAAAGAAGGUUUGCUUUAGUAAACUAGAAAUGUCCCUUUCCUGGAAACAGUGUUUCUUGCUGCAGACUUGCUGGAAACUAAAUUGUAACCAGUUUUUAAUUGAUUUCUUGUAAACUUGGUUGACUGGGCCAAGUCUCCAGUCAACCACGCUUACAGAAGGCAUAUCAGUAGCAAUUUUGCUCACCAGUAUUUUGGAAGUGCUUGGUUCAUACCUGAUAGCAUCUCUGUGCAAACCUUUUACCUAUGAAACAACAGUAGAGCUAUGUUAGUUAUUUGUGGGCUCUUCCAACAAUAAAAAAAUCACCUGUCCCCUAAGCAAGUGCAAUCAUAAUCUCAACAUAGAUUUUCACUUUCUUUACAAGAGAAAGAGCUUAAAGAUUUUUCUAUGUCCUCUGUAUUUUCUAGCUGUGAUUUAGAUCUAUUUUCACACGUGCUUAUGAAUCAGAUUAUAGGAAGAACUCCUAAUCUGAUAGGUGAGAUACUUGACUGUUUUAGAAAUUUCAGCAAAAUAGUCUUAUUUGGCAGAGAACUGGAAAACAGGGAAAUAUAUAUUUUAAUUUCAAUGUUUAACCUUUUUUCUAUUGUCUUGAAGAAUUUAUUAGCCAUCUGCAGAGCUGCAACUUGUAAUCACUAUAAUGAACGUGUUUUUUACUAACUGUUAACCCCAUUUAUUUUUCAUUUUUUCUCACUGAAAUAGUAAUGUUUUCUGUUCUCUGAAUGGGAGACUUAUUUUUCCUUCCAGGCUAUGCUAUUAAUGUUAUUCAUUUCACAGAUGCAUACAUGUUUGAAUUUUCUACAUAGUGAAAAAGAGAGGACUUGACAAGUGUAAAUGGAGCACAGCACAAGAAAGGAUACCUCCUGUAGAGAAGUGAGAGGGAUGGGGACAAAGAGAGGAAGAGAAUGGUUUGUUGGAGGAUGUCUCUGUUCUGUCAGAAUGAGUAACUGUAGCACUAUGACUGAACAGCAGGGAGAACAAGAGUUACUGCUAAAAAAUUCCUUACAUGUUUCCUGGAAAUUAAACAGCUGAGGUAGAGCUUGACUGCAAAUAGUCAUUGGCUGAGAUCUUCAGAUACAAGGAGUAUUGAAAGAGAUGAAAGAUGCAGACAGAUCUUAGAAUCAGCUAUAAUGAUCUGUUCCUUCUAUGUGAAAGUAUGAAUGGAAAUUUUCAAUUACUCCAUUCUAAAAGUGCUCUGUUUUUUUAAUAUUAUAAAAGCAUCACACAGAAACAAAGCCCGAUUGGUGCAUUAUUUUUCUGAAAUUAUGCCUCCAGAAGGUGAUUAUUCUUUAGCUGUGAUGUUCCGAUACCUGGACACAAGUUGAUGGCAGAAAACUGCUAAAAAACUUACAUUUAUGCACAUGCUUUAUCAAUAAAUAUAUGAAUCUACAGUGAUGUGGAAUUCCUCAAUCUAAUGCUCUGUUUUAAAGUUAAAAUCAUGUGCUGUUGGGAGUCUUGCACUGGUAUCUUAUUUCCCAAUUCCAAAUUUUCAUCAGAGCAUUAAAAGAGGAAGUGUAAGUUGCAGUGACUCUCUGCCCUGAGUGCUGGGGAACAUGCUCCUUGUCCUGCAGGUGAAGAAGCUGAUAUUACUGAAUUGCAGUGACUAAUGUGUCUAUAAAAAGAUUGCUAAUUUAACUUGCUUUUUGUUUAACAGAAAAGUGAAACAGAACUUGAUCUGAAAGUUUCUCUAUUUAGAAUGUUGGAAAAAAAAAGAAUACAUAGGAUACACAGAACGUGUAUCUAUUAAACAGAAAUUGUUUUUACUUUUAUAAUAAACUUUUAUAAUAAAUAGUUAUUAUUUUUACUUUAGUAAAAUACUUAAAACAAGGAAGAAUUGUAAGUGACUGUCAGGUCUCACCAUUGUCUGCUUUUCAGGUCAUUUCCCUUUCUUCUAGGAGCCAAAUUAGUGAGGAACGUAUGCAAAUGAUGUCUGUGAAGUUCACUAGGAUUUAGCACCUUUAAGGUUAACAAGGAGAAAAAACAGAUGUCAUAUUGCAAUAUGGAAAUGUCCAUUCAAUCUAGGUUUUAGUGCAGCUCUUGCAGUGUGGUGGAGCUUUAAGGAAGGUAAUGGCCCAGGAGGCAGUGGAACCACCAGUAUUUCUGGUGUGUUUCCUUCCUUGACCUCAACAUACCUAUUCCUGACAUUGUAAGCUAAAGAGCCUUGGAUAUCAUGUUUUGUGUACUUUGUUCUUUUUGUGCGUGGAAUCUGCGUGCAGGCAUGAUGGAUGAGUGCUUCUUUUUGAAGCAGCAAGAUUAGAAAUGGCCGCUAUACUUCUGUCUGAUGUAAGAGCACAGUCCCAGGAUAACUGCUCAGGAUCUUCUUGCAGGAGUGUGACCUCCGUAUGACUUGAGAAGAGUUGUGGUAGUUCAUGAAUUGCUGCGUUUCCCCUCAUUUAUCAUUCAUGAUGUCAGCUCCCUUUCUAUCCUUCUUCUCUGUUCAUUUAGCAUCAUGGCUAUGGGAAGCAAUCUCAACUGAAGUACCUUCUGAGAGAUAAUGCCUUUUUUAUUCUUCUAAGAGGGGUCUGAAGAGUCCUUGGGAGUGGCAUCUUUCACAGGUGGAAGUAUUUGUGAAGAUUUUGAAGUCAAGGAUUCAAAGUCAUGUGGAUCAAGCACAUCAAGUGCCUGGGGUUUUAAUGCUUCAUGGCUUCUGUAUUGUUCACAGCUCCUCGGUUCCACAUACAGUUGGCUUUUAUUGA